CAGCACAUGAAAAGUACCUUUCCCACAGAUGGUUUAACAGUGAUUUUGGAUUUGCUUUUUCCGAUGUAACACAGCUAUAUCUCUUUCUCUAAUAUGUCUUUACGUAUUUAUUUCUCAAUCCCCUUUAUCACACUGUGAAGUGUUUUGGCUUGUUGUUUUCAUGGCUGUUUAUGGCAGUCUGUUGUUCAAUUGGAUACCACUUGUGUCCUUGCUCUUUUCAGCACAGCAUAGCCAGUCAGCCAGUCUUGCCAGCAGGAGUUAAGUGGAACUUGGGUACUUUUCCAGUUGAACAAAAAAACCCUGUUCUUCCUGCAGCCUGCAUUUCAACAAUGAGUAAAGAGAAGCUUCAUAGUCAACAUUAAAUAAAAACACAUGGUUUCCUGCAGCUGGAGUCUUAAUCUUGCAUUAGGGUUCCCAGAGCCAAUGCUGCAAGGGGCAGCUUUUAGAUAGCUAGUGGUACUUCAAUUGCAAAACUCUCAGUUAAACCUGAGUUUACGGCUGCUCAUCACAAAACUACUGAAAGAGAAAUAGUUUUUGCAGCUUCUUGUUUUGGAAUGCUGAUGGGAAUCAGAGGAGAACAGUCCUGUUAUUUUAUAGGAGACUACAGUUUCUUUACUGAAGCUUCUGCAAGUGAGCUGGAAAGUGUCUGUUAACAAGGAAUAGCUCAACUGAAACAAAUUCCUCUUGCUUUUGUCUCCAAGUGAACUGCACUGUGGAAGGACAUGAAAUGUAAAUGCACUGCCUAAGAGGUUUACAGUAAAAGGUAAAGUACAGUCUGAGGGUGACUAUUAACAUCUCCAUUGUGUAGCAAAUACUCAGAAUGGUAAAAGGCUGUUGUUCAAGAAACAAGUAAAAAAAGCUUUAGUGUUUUUUAAAGGUUCUCUGUAGAGAUCUAAAUUUUUCAUGUGAGUUGUCCUUGUAGCCUUGUUAGGAGCUGUUAUUAGAACCGCAUGAAGAACCUGAUAGUUAUUCAGGUGUAUGAAGUUAUAUGCAACAAAAGUAUGCAAGAAGAGGGGGAAAACAUCCUUAUAUUCUAUAGUGUAAUAUAUAGAAUAUAAUUAAUAUGUUCUGAUCUUCAGAAUGAUGCUUCAAUUUAGGUGAAGAAAUUUUCUUCAAACAUUUAUGCUGAUUUGUGCCCAUUUAUGGAUCAAACUUUUAAGUGAAUGGGUUUUGUGUAGUCAUGUUUGUAGGAAACAUUGUACGUUUACAAUUUUGCAAAUAAAUAUUCCACGUAAGGGGUUGGAUAAGGGAUUCCUCUAAAGCCCAUGAAAGUUAAUGGUAAAGUGAUCCAUAUCGAUUUUAGUGGAUAUUAGGUGAGGCCUUAUGUGCAAAUAUAAAUAAUUUCCAGCUGAAGUUGAGCAUACAAACAUUUAGGUAACUCUUAUUUCAUUUGCCUUUAUAUAUCUGGGCUCCCGGACUGGACUUCCGAAAAUAUUGCAGAUGGGAUAUUCUGAGUACUUCAUAUUGUAAACAGUGUGUGGCUGAAGAUCAGAGCUGACAUUGAUCCCACCUAGUAUUGGAGAGCUAUAUCUGAAUGAGCUACCCCAACAUAUUUGGGAGUCCAUGGAGACAAAUAUGUGCUUUUGGGUGCAGUAUAUGCAACCUAUUUUAGAGGAUGGGACUGCUGCUCUCACUAUGAAGAGUGUCUUGGGUCAGAGGAGUGUGAGAUGUUUUACUAUUCGUUUUUGUUUUCAGUGGCCAGUUGAGUUUGUGACCUAAAGCCAUUUCUUUAUUCAUGGAAGAGAUCUGUUUUUUCUAUUAAAACCAGUGCUUGAACCACAUGCCAGAAAGCUGGCAUGCUGCCACUCUGGUGCUUUUAUUGUGGAAAUUAGAAGAGCAGUAGGUCAUCUUUCCUGUCUCUGUAGUAAGAAAUGGGUAGCUGGAUUGCCCAGAUACAUUACAACUUCUGGGGAUUUUCUUUAGUCAGAUUAACUAAGUAAGGCUGUUAUUUGAUGUAUAAUAUCUUGAUCAUGCAACCCUGCAUUCCUGGUGAAGGAGACUUGGAACACAGCUCUUGUCAGAUAUUAUGACAGGAUUUCCAAAUGAAAAUAUUUCCAUUUCUUACAUUUUACUUCCUUUUUGAAAUAUUCCAUGGGAGAAAUUUUCUGAGUAAUUCUGACCACAAAUAUAUUUCAAUGAUUUUGUUACAGUAUCCUGAUACAGUAUUGUAUCCUAAUCCCAAGGGUAAAAGUGGUAUGUGUUUUAAUCUAGUUCAAAAUAAAUGACAAAUGAAACUUCAAGCCUAAUUCAUAUAUUAAAAAAUGCUAAAUUCAGCCAACAUGAAUGAUUUUAUUGUAAACAUUGAUUGUUUUGUACAA